ACAGUAUUAUUAUCUUUAACUAUAAAAGCUAAACUACAAGUAGAAUACUUGGCAUAAAGUACACAAUCGUCCAUUCAGAUCCUCUUACGAAACUCUUUUCCUUCUCAAAAUCCUCUAAACCAAAUCCUAAAUCCGACCAAUAUGCUUCUCAAUCUACAGAUUUUCAGAUAUUGAUCACAAUUAUUGUUAACCCCUUUUCCUUCUUUUAUCUCUUGUUUACUUAUUUUUUGUUAUUCCAAUAUUGUUAACAAAGAAGAAAAGUAAAUCAAGAAUCCAAUGGGUGACAGGAAAUCUUCAUCCAAGAAAAAAUCAUCAAAAAAGAAGAGACUCAAAGUUUCCUCUAAGAUACGGAAGAGAAAAAGCAGAAGAAACAAAUCCAAGAAGCUUUCCAGUUCUGAAGAUGACACGUCAUCUUCUGCUUCCUCUGAUUAUUCUAGCGGUCCACAGUCUUCAUCCUCCAGUUCAGAGGAUGAUUAUAGUAGGAAAAGCCGUAGGCACUCACGUGAUGUGAAACGCGUGAAGAAAAGAACACGGAAAAGAUCCUCAAGCCGAGAUGUCAGUGAGGGUUCACCCCCUGUAAAGAAAAGAAAAAAGUCAAAGAGAAAGAGUCUUGGUCAUGGAAGGAAAGUGCAGAAGAAGAAGCGAAAGAGAUACGCUAGUAUUAGCUCCACGAACAGCGAUUCAGGAAGUUGUUCUAGUUGCCAACGUGAAAAUAGUAUUAGCUCCAGAGGUAGAGAUUCUAGGAGCUUUUCCACUUGCCAAGAUGAAACGAAUAGGGGUAGUGAGGAUAUUGAUCUUCAGAUUCUGAGUAUUAAGUCCAGAAAAAAGAAGAAAGAAAAGAGAAUUCGUAGUGAGACAAGCACUGAAAAAGGGAGCGGAAGUAGGGGGCCAAGUUGUUCUUUAUGCAACGAUCAUUCAUGUUCUUGUAAUACUACUCUCAGUGGGAAGGGAUCUGCGGAAGAGAAUAAUCCUAAGCGCUUAAGAUCUGUUAUUAUUGUUCCAGAAAAGACACGUGAUAAAGAGGGAGACGAACAGGGACCAGAUAUGCUUAAAGAAGAGAUUCUGAAUAAGCACCAUAAUUGCCCUUCAUGCGGAAGCCAUGACAAUAAUGACCUGGACAUUAAACCGAAAUUAGCUUCUUGUUCUUGUUUCCCGUCUAAUCAAACAAUGCAGGUUGGAAAUUUGAUAAUUGAUGAUGCAUUUCCUCCCAAUAGUGAAACUUUUGGCCCCACAAGAGUUGGUGGUGCUAUGGAUCCUCAUCCAUAUAGAGUCAAAGAAGUAAGUAAUGAUUAUGGAGGUAAGAGUGGGGUGUCUGAUGAUAUUACUAAUACAGGGGUUGAAGAUCUCGAGACUGUCUUAAGGAAAAAGGCAUUGGAGAACUUGCAGAAGUUUCGUAAAGAGCUUCAACCAAAUGUGAAAUCUGGUGCCAAGGAAAAGAAGAAUGACAGUGAUGUUAAUAAGUUAUCCCCUUCAAAGACUGAGGUUAUACCAUACAAGUCUUUGGAACAGGAGAAAAAAGAGGGUUUGGCUUUAAAUCAAGUUAAAGAAUGCAGAAGCAAGCUUGUAAUUACUGAGGAGUUUUCUCAUUCCACAAAGAUUGAGAUAAAUACUCCAGUCGAAGAGAAUAAGGGAAAAGGAUCUGGAUCCAUUGAGCAGAGUGUUACACAACCUGCUGAUAGAUCAGCGCUCUCACAGAGUCCAGAAAAGGAGGACCAUACCACUGGACCAGUUCUUAUCAAUGAACUGGAACCUGCUAAACUAUCAUGUAGUACCACAGUACAGACUUAUAAAAAGGAAAAUUCAUUGGCUUCCAAGAGAAACAUAAUUAAAACACCAGUUCCUUUGAGACCUGGAGUUCUUAGCACUGGGACCAGCGAUAACUUAGACAAAGGAGUUGUUAAUGACAGUAUCCGUUCUACUGUAGAAACCACUUCUAGUGUCAGAUCCACAUCUGAAGGACUUACUUCAGAACACCAGCCUGAUGAAACCAAGGAUGCCUCUCAGUUCGAAAAAAAGACCAUGUCUGUAAUGAGGGGUGGUGAAAUGGUACAGGUUUUUGGUUAAAUCUUUUGUACCAGGGUGGCGGACCCUUGCUAGUUUCUCAUUGAACCUACUUUUAGCUGCUUUUAAUUAAAGGGGAGAAACAAAUAUGCAUGCAAAGCCUCCACUUAUUGGGACUUUUGGAUUUUUUUCGAUGUAAACUACAAGGUUUACAUCCCUAAGCGGGCUCCUGCUCUGGCCAGGAGACAGCUCAAGCGGUGAUGUGUGUUCGAGUUACAAUUUUCAUGCCAUUUGGGUCCAUUUUUAGAUUCUUAAUCCAAUUGGCUUGCUGCAAUGUAUAUUGAGUCAGGGCUUAAGUGCUAGGUGGCUGAAUCUGGAGGCUCCUGGGAUGACUAUGCUGUGAAUGCUUGUGUAUCAAUGAAGCGUUUUCCUGCCUGUGAAGCUAUGAGCUCUUGUAUUCUACAGAAGAAAGCUGAUGACGAAGAUAUGUUUAGUUAAGUCUGUGUAGAACAGAAAAAUAAUACAGUAUAAUUUAAGUCUGUCACGUUGAAGCUCUCGUGUUCUCUCGUGUUUCCUUCUGCAUCAUUCUUUUUUAUGAAGUUAAUCCUUUCCAUAAUUAUUGAAAACAGAUUUUAGAUGUUA